UCUCCGCUUGCGCGGGCAGUCUUUUUAGAGUCCCCAGCUUGACCUGUUGGCAACUAAAGAUAAGGGUUGCGCUCGUUGCGGGACUUAACCCAACAUCUCACGACACGAGCUGACGACAGCCAUGCACCACCUGUAUACCGACUACAAGGGGGGCCACAUCUCUGCAGCUUUCCGGUAUAUGUCAAACCCAGGUAAGGUUCUUCGCGUUGCAUCGAAUUAAGCCACAUGCUCCGCCGCUUGUGCGGGUCCCCGUCAAUUCCUUUGAGUUUUAGCCUUGCGGCCGUACUCCCCAGGCGGGGUGCUUAAUGCGUUAGCUUCGGCACGGAGAGGGUUGAAGACCUCCCCACACCUAGCACCCAACGUUUACGGCUGGGACUAC
rnacentral:misc_RNA from 1 species